CAGCGGUUUAGCCGUGCAGGUGUGGGUUUGGAGCCCUGCCCCCGGCCCUGCCACCUUCUUGUCACUUAUCUCUGUGUGUGAGACCCUAUGGCAUUCCUCCCAUUUUUUACAAGGUCUUUCACCGCUCUGCUCAAACAGUGUCGAUGACAUUCUCAGCUCAGUGAGCUAACGCCAGCAACCAUUCCAGAGCGAGAGGCUCUCUGAUAAUCAAUGCUGCAGAAUUUUUCCCACACUCCUUAUCAAGUGUUUUUGUGUCCCUUUUCCAGGGACCCAUCGGAUGAGGUGUUUGCUUGGCAUUGGACCGGUGUUGGAAACUGUACCAGGAAACGUAGGCGAGCAACGAUUGGCGCAGUCAGUCCAUCGC